CGUCUUACGUGUCAGGUACCGCCUUCCUCCCUUCUGUUAUCACAACACGUGGCACCCGCCCUCCCUUCGUCUCCUCUUCCCUACAAAAGAUCUGAUACCAAACCCUAAUCAAUUUUGAAACGAACAAGAGCCUUCUUCUUCAAAUUUCACUACGACUACUUCGAGCUUCAGAUUUCGCAUUUUCCUUUCCUUAUACGAAUUGAAUUACUGAGCUCUGCAACAAUGGUGGAGGUUUCCGAGCGAGGGAUGAAAGAGGAGGAGAUUGAGCUGGAUUUAGGCUUGUCAAUCGGAGGCGUGAGUUUCAGAAAACCGAAACUCAACGGAGGAGACGAAAUCCAGACGGCGGCGGUUGGAAGAUCCAGCAGCAUGGCGUCGCCGGCGGCCUUUUCCGAGCCGGAGAGCGCGGUUGUGGAUCCGCAGGCGAAAAGGGAGAUUCAGGCGCAGCGGAGGCAGGAGGCGAAGAGGAAGCGAGAAGAGAAGAAAAUGCGAGCCCAAAUAGGAGAACAGCAACAAUCGCCGGCGAGAAAGAAAGAGAAGAGUGUGGACGCAACGAAUGUUGUGCUAUCUCAAGGCGAUAACGGCGUUAACGUUAUGAAUGUGAAUUUGAAUUUGAGUAACGGCGAGGCGGAGCACCACCAUUACCAGGUUGGACCGGUGCAGUACCCGUACGCGCCCGUCCAGUUCGUUCCGUACCCGAACGGGUUCGC
rnacentral:lncRNA from 1 species